rnacentral:rRNA from 1 species
GUAGGCAGUGUCAUCGCCAAGCAGCCUGCUCUAUUCAGAUCUCAGAAACUAAGCAAGGCUGGGCCUGGACAGUCCUGGGAUAGGAGACCUCUAAGGAAGGCGAGGUUACUGCUGCCA